AUGAACGCUAGCGGCGGGCCUAACACAUGCAAGUCGAGGGGUAAGGCUCCUUCGGGAGUACACGACCGGCAAACGGGUGAGUAACACGUUUGUAACCUGCCUCUAACUGGGGGAUAGCCCGAAGAAAUUCGGAUUAAUACCCCAUAACAUUAUUAAAUCGCAUGAUUUAAUAAUUAAAGCUCCGGCGGUUAGAGAUGGGCAUGCGUGCCAUUAGCUAGUUGGUAGGGUAACGGCCUACCAAGGCUACGAUGGCUAGGGGGUCUGAGAGGAUGAUCCCCCACACUGGUACUGAGACACGGACCAGACUCCUACGGGAGGCAGCAGUGAGGAAUAUUGGGCAAUGGGCGCAAGCCUGACCCAGCCACGCCGCGUGCAGGAUGACGGCCCUACGGGUUGUAAACUGCUUUUUUACGGGAAGAAACUUCCGAUCGUGAUCGGGACUGACUGUACCGUACGAAUAAGCAUCGGCUAACUCCGUGCCAGCAGCCGCGGUAAUACGGAGGAUGCAAGCGUUAUCCGGAUUUAUUGGGUUUAAAGGGUGCGUAGGCGGGGUGGUAAGUCAGUGGUGAAAUCUUGCGGCUUAACCGUAAAAUUGCCAUUGAUACUGCCAUCCUUGAGUAUAGUUGAGGUGGGCGGAAUGUAUAAUGUAGCGGUGAAAUGCUUAGAUAUUAUACAGAACACCGAUUGCGUAGGCAGCUCACUAAGCUAUAACUGACGCUGAGGCACGAAAGCGUGGGGAGCGAACAGGAUUAGAUACCCUGGUAGUCCACGCUGUAAACGAUGAUCACUCGUUGUUGGCGAUAAAUUGUCAGCGACUGAGCGAAAGCAUUAAGUGAUCCACCUGGGGAGUACGGUCGCAAGAUUGAAACUCAAAGGAAUUGACGGGGGCCCGCACAAGCGGUGGAACAUGUGGUUUAAUUCGAUGAUACGCGAGGAACCUUACCUGGGCUUGAAAGAGAGACGACAGACCCCGAAAGGGGUUCUUCUUCGGACGUCUUUCUAGGUGCUGCAUGGUUGUCGUCAGCUCGUGCCGUGAGGUGUCGGGUUAAGUCCCAUAACGAGCGCAACCCCUAUCGUUAGUUGCCAGCGGAUAAUGCCGGGGACUCUAGCGAAACUGCCGGUGUAACCGAGAGAAAGGUGGGGAUGACGUCAAAUCAGCACGGCCCUUAUGUCCAGGGCUACACACGUGUUACAAUGGUCGGCACAAAGGGCAGCUACUGGGUGACCAGAUGCUAAUCUCUAAAACCGAUCGUAGUUCGGAUCGAAGUCUGCAACUCGACUUCGUGAAGCUGGAAUCGCUAGUAAUCGCGCAUCAGCAACGGCGCGGUGAUACGUUCCCGGGCAUUGUACACACCGCCCGUCAAGCCAUGGAAGCCGGAGGUGCAUGAAGUCCGU
rnacentral:rRNA from 1 species